CAUGGGGACCCGGCAGGAGGAGCAGGGGCGGGAGCCCCGAGACUCGGGCGGCGCGAAAGCAUCUGGUGUUUUCUAGCUUCCCUGAACAUGGUGAGCAAAAGCUGCCUCCCCACAGCACCUCUGGGACCCUCUGACAAGCCAGGUGCAUGCCUGGCCCAAGACAAGAUGCCUGGGCUUCCCUGCAGGUACCUGACCUGGGAGGGACAUGGCUACUAGGCAGUACAAGACACGGGCUCUCCUCCUUCCGGGCUCUGUGGCCACAGAGCAGAACGGGCACAGUGAACACUUCCAUGGGACUCCCUCUGUGUUGAAUUGAUGCACCAGAGGCAGCAGACAUAUCCGCAUUUCAGGUGUCAUCUAAACCAAUAAAAGAACUCAACUGGCCUCAUACCUCCAGACCCUGAGUAAGGAACCCAGGUUAGCCAGAACAGACU